UACGUAGGGAGCAAGCGUUGUUCGGAUUUACUGGGCGUAAAGGGCGCGUAGGCGGCGCGGUAAGUCACUUGUGAAAUCUCUGAGCUUAACUCAGAACGGCCAAGUGAUACUGCAGUGCUAGAGUGCAGAAGGGGCAAUCGGAAUUCUUGGUGUAGCGGUGAAAUGCGUAGAUAUCGGGAGGAACACCAGUGGCGAAGGCGACUACCUGGCCUGUUCUUGACGCUGAGGCGCGAAAGCGUGGGGAGCAAACAGG
rnacentral:rRNA from 1 species